CCCUUAGAUGUUCUGGGCCGCACGCGCGCUACACUGAUGCAUUCAACGAGUUUCUUCCUGGUCCGAGAGGAAUGGGUAACCUUUUGAAAGUGCAUCGUGAUAGGUAUAGACUAUUGCAAUUAUUGGUCUUCAACGAGGAAUUCCUAGUAGACGUAGUUCAUCAGACUGCAUCGAUUACGUCCCUGCCCUUUGUACACACCGCCCGUCGCUCCUACCGAUUGAAUGCUCAGGUGAGCCAUUCGGACUUUCAUCAUGCUGGUUUCCAGUUUUGAUGAAGGAAAGUCUUGCGAACCUUAUCAUUUAGAGGAAGGAGAAGUCGUAACA
rnacentral:rRNA from 1 species